UCAGCACGCUGGAUGGCUGCUGCCCCGCCUGUAAAGGGCCUCUAGUUUCGCGUUUGGUGCGGUUUAGCUGGGUCCUUUACUGGCGGGGUGGAGGAAAGUCCGGGCUCCACGGAGACAUGGCGGCGGGUAACGCCCGCCGGGGGCGACCCUAGGGAUAGCGCCACAGAAAGCAAACCGCCGGCAUCUAUGGCCGGUAAGGGUGAAAGGGUGCGGUAAGAGCGCACCGCGGGCCUGGCAACAGGACCGGCACGGCAAGCCCCGCCAGGAGCAAGACCAAAUAGGGAUGGCAUUGGGCGUUUCCGCCUGGCCGUCCGGGUCGGUCGCGCGAGGCGCCUGGCAACAGGCGUCCCAGAGGAAUGGCCAUCCAAAAAUCCUGGCGACAGGGUUUGGGACAGAACCCGGCUUAUAGGCGUGCUGAACCG
rnacentral:RNase_P_RNA from 1 species